rnacentral:rRNA from 1 species
GAUGAACGCUGGCGGCGUGCCUAAUACAUGCAAGUCGAGCGAACGGACGAGAAGCUUGCUUCUCUGAUGUUAGCGGCGGACGGGUGAGUAACACGUGGAUAACCUACCUAUAAGACUGGGAUAACUUCGGGAAACCGGAGCUAAUACCGGAUAAUAUUUUGAACCGCAUGGUUCAAAAGUGAAAGACGGUCUUGCUGUCACUUAUAGAUGGAUCCGCGCUGCAUUAGCUAGUUGGUAAGGUAACGUCUUACCAAGGCAACGAUGCAUAGCCGACCUGAGAGGGUGAUCGGCCACACUGGAACUGAGACACGGUCCAGACUCCUACGGGAGGCAGCAGUAGGGAAUCUUCCGCAAUGGGCGAAAGCCUGACGGAGCAACGCCGCGUGAGUGAUGAAGGUCUUCGGAUCGUAAAACUCUGUUAUUAGGGAAGAACAUAUGUGUAAGUAACUGUGCACAUCUUGACGGUACCUAAUCAGAAAGCCACGGCUAACUACGUG